CCUACAGAAAAUCGUGACAGAAGGCGUUGCGGGUAACACCAUCCAAAUGAAUGGAAUGCGCCGUGAAAUCGGACAUCAUAAACCCAACGUGCGUCCGGUUUCGUCUAGUGUUCCCACGAAUGAAUGUGUGCUGCCAAAACAACAGCCAUCUUACCCUGAAAACAUGCACACUGUGCCUGAUGCCCCUGGCCAAGCCUGGAACGGACGUGUACCAGCCAUGCGCCCCACCUCAGCUCCGUUGGCUAGCCUGCCGCCAUUGCAGCAUCUUUCCCGGCCGACCUCAAAUGGUCCCCCAGCCCUCCAUUUUGCAAUGAACUCUUUACGCCGUCCAGAACGGUAAGAGGUCACCUGUGGAACUUCAACUGCGUCCCAUCUCAAGGCUGUGUCAUCCACUGUUGCCAAGAAGAGCAAGGCGCCCUUUGUGACACGCCUUUGUCCCUCUACCUGCCCCGAAGACAUAAUCUCUUUCUUGCGGGACAAUGCCAUUGAAUUGCCGGUGCACGCUGAAGGCGGAAAUGAAGCAGGAUCUGGCUUGUAUCUGGUGCAUGACGAAAUUGCUGACACGUUAGUUGCAGUCUACCUCCACCAACAGGGUGGAAAACAAAGGCCGCCAUUCCGAUUAGCUGCUAUCUCCCAGUUCAAGCACUUUUGCUGUCUGGACACUGGUUCCUGUGGAUGGGAUGUUACAAGCUUCACUGUCUGAUA